GCCGGUUAACCCAGGAAGGCCAGUCAGCCGCCCCGCCCGGAUAUUCUAGGGCCACCGCCGAACUCCACGGAACGGACAGGACCCCGAGUGCCGUAAUCGGGCUGUCAUCUUUUUAAUAACUGGUGAAGAAAGGGCCGGGCAAGACGGUGCCAGCCGCCGCGGUAAUACCGGCGGCUCGAGUGGUGGCCACUAUUACUGGGCUUAAAGCGUCCGUAGCUGGUCUGUUAAGUCUCUGGGGAAAUCUACCGGCUUAACCGGUAGGCGUCUCAGGGAUACUGGCAGACUAGGGACCGGGAGAGGUGAGAGGUACUCCAGGGUAGGAGUGAAAUCCUGUAAUCCUUGGGGGACCACCUGUGGCGAAGGCGUCUCACCAGAACGGCUCCGACAGUGAGGGACGAAAGCUGGGGGAGCAAACCGGAUUAGAUACCCGGGUAGUCCCAGCUGUAAACGAUGCGCGUUAGGUGUAUCGGUGACCACGAGUCACCGAGGUGCCGAAGGGAAACCGUGAAACGUGCCGCCUGGGAAGUACGGUCGCAAGGCUGAAACUUAAAGGAAUUGGCGGGGGAGCACCACAACGGGUGGAGCCUGCGGUUUAAUCGGACUCAACGCCGGGAAACUCACCGGAUAAGACAGCUGUAUGAUUGCCGGGCUGAAGACUCUGCAUGACUAGCUGAGAGGAGGUGCAUGGCCGUCGUCAGUUCGUACUGUGAAGCAUCCUGUUAAGUCAGGCAACGAGCGAGACCCACGCCAACAGUUGCCAGCUCGUCCUCCGGGAUGGAGGGGACACUGUUGGGACCGCCUCUGCUAAAGAGGAGGAAGGAAUGGGCAACGGUAGGUCAGCAUGCCCCGAAUUAUCCGGGCUACACGCGGGCUACAAUGGGUGGGACAAUGGGUAUCGACUCCGAGAGGUGAAGGCAAUCUCCUAAACCCAUCCUUAGCUUCGGAUUGUGGGCUACACUCGCCCACAUGAAGCUGGAUCCGUAUAAUCGUGUGCCAAUAGCACGGAUGUCUCCUUUCUGCCCCCGACCCUUGAUUCCGGGCUCGUCUCCUUUGGGCCCGUGGUUGUUUUGUGCCCAAGGGGCGG
rnacentral:rRNA from 1 species